UUACGAAACACAUUAGUUACGCUGAAAAUAUUUUUACUAGAUACUGAUUUUUGACAAUAACACUUGUUAAUUCUAAUAUGGUGCCAUACCUAUCAAGAAAUAAAGUGUUAGCUUGAUGGUUAAAAUUAAAAUCAUUUAAAUUUUAAAUCUCAAGUUAUAUUUGUGGUUAGUACUUUUCUAAUUUAAUUUUCUUAUAACAUUCUAUGAUCUCCACUUAUAAAAUAACACAAUGUAUUUAUUCGCAAAGCUUCCUAGCACAUUCGUGGUCAUCCCACUGAUAACCAUUUUCAAGUCUCAAACCAGUCUUAAUUCCCAUAGGCCAUACCAUCUUCGAUCAGCAAUAUUUGAUUAGACAGAGUUAGUUAAUUAGUAAAGGCCUAACCAUGGAAGUACACCUUAUUCUAAUAUAACUGUUAAUUCUUGUGCUCAUUGGUGGUAGCAUAAUAUUGGUUGGUUGGAGGAAUUUCAAAUGUAAGCCUCGUCGAUAACUCAAACCGCUUGGCAUCGGGUUGGAGAUGAUUUUUGUACGUGGCUUGGAGUUGAGUGCAGCUAGCAUGCAAGAGAUCGAACAGGUCAUGUCGAGUCGGACUCAUUAUUAAAAGUUGAAAUAAAUCCUUCCUUUAAAACUCCGAUGCUAAGCUCACUGUUCCAGCUGACCAAUCUUUAUUCUUCAGAUCAAUUUCCGGCAUGGCUUCAAACACAGACGCAACUCGAGACAUUGUACAUGAAUAAUGCAAGCAUCUCGAUACAUCUUUUUACAAAAAUUAUUAAGAUUUGGUCUUUUUAAUAAAUAAAACACAUUCAGCAAACAAAAAAGUAAAAUGGUAUUGAAAAUCAUUUUUUUAAGGCAAUUAUUAUGUUUCGUACGGUGAUGAAGGCACGAAGCAAAGCUCAAAGAGAGAAUGCCACUGGCACUAAUUAAGUGGGUUAGUUCAUCAAUUAAUAUAUUCAAAAUUUCUUAAACAAAUAGUAGAUCCUUAUCAGUAGUACCUUUAAAAAAUGAUCGGAAAAUGCACAUAUAUUAGUUACAUGCAUGCAUGCAUAUCCAUGGUGAGUUUUGCAUUUCAAUAAAACUUGGAUGUGUGCCUGCCUGCCUGCCUGCCUGCCUACAACAAGGUAAUGGUAAUGGUAAUGGCAGCAAUUGCAGUGAAUACAACAAAUUGGCUUAAGCAGGAAAUUCAAUAUUUAAAGGUAAUUUAAAACUCUUUAUCUUUCUCUGACUGAUAUCUAAAGCUAAUGUACGUACCCUGAUGCCAAGUUGAAGUUUUGUAGUGUAAUAAAUAUAUACAAGAGUAUCCCUAAGCUCAACAUUAGAAUAGAACCAACUCUUUUCUGAAAAAACUUAUUUUCCUGAAUUACCAAUUUAGAAGAUGAUGAGAGACUACUAAAUACCUAACUAGAAUGCAUUCCAAACAAUUAACCUAAAUGUGGAUUCCCCCAAAGAAAAGGAUCUGACAGGCUAUGGCAUAAUUAACCAGGGAAUAUUUCAUUCUCAGAAUAGCAAAACCAAAAACCAAUGGCUAAAGUUCAAAACUAUCCCAGCAUAUGCCGCCGCCUGAGUGUCUUUAAGAAAGCCUUAAUUCCCUAAAUAAGCCCAAAGAAUAACAACUAAAGAAGAAGAACUAGAGCACACUUGUGAAUAAAAAGACUUGGCAUUCACAAGAAAACUUUGCAAGAGAGCUAGAGAAUGC
rnacentral:lncRNA from 1 species